GAUGACGGGGGAUGGGAGCGGGCAGAGUUUGAACCCAGGACCAUCAAUAAGUCUGAACGACAGUCCAGCGCACAAACUGCAUGAACAGUGAAUCUUCCAAAGUUUGUGGUUCUUGGGCUCCUUAAAACAAAAGAUUCAAAAGCAGUCACUAUUUACCAAAAUUAGCAGUCAACAGUCUGAAGUAUUACUAGCCUUCUUAUAGAUAGCACACAGAAACAGUCUUUGCAUGGGAGUUGAAACUUUUAAAAACUGGAAAUAGUAGCUAUUGGGUUCAUGUCUACUCAUAUUAUAUUA
rnacentral:sRNA from 1 species